rnacentral:misc_RNA from 1 species
GUAGGUGAACCUGCGGAAGGAUCAUUACAAGUUUUUUUUUUUUUGUGUGUGAUAAGGGAAGAUUUUAUUUUAAUAAUGGAAUGGAAUCUCUCUCCCUUAAAGCACACAAAAAUAUUCACGCAUGUUGUGUUUGACAAAGUUAUAUUAUGAGAUUAAAAUUUUUAAAACUUUUAACAAUGGAUCUCUUGGUUCUC